GGGUCUAUAGCGCAGCCAGGUAGCGCACCGCCCUUUUAAGGCGGCUGUCGUGGGUUCGAAUCCCACUAGACCCGC
rnacentral:tRNA from 2 species